AGUGAACGCUGGCGGUAGGCCUAACACAUGCAAGUCGAACGGCAGCACAGUAAGAGCUUGCUCUUACGGGUGGCGAGUGGCGGACGGGUGAGGCAUACAUCGGAAUCUACUUUUUCGUGGGGGAUAACGUAGGGAAACUUACGCUAAUACCGCAUACGACCUACGGGUGAAAGCAGGGGAUCUUCGGACCUUGCGCGAUUGAAUGAGCCGAUGUCGGAUUAGCUAGUUGGCGGGGUAAAGGCCCACCAAGGCGACGAUGCGUAGCUGGUCUGAGAGGAUGAUCAGCCACACUGGAACUGAGACACGGUCCAGACUCCUACGGGAGGCAGCAGUGGGGAAUAUUGGACAAUGGGCGCAAGCCUGAUCCAGCCAUACCGCGUGGGUGAAGAAGGCCUUCGGGUUGUAAAGCCCUUUUGUUGGGAAAGAAAAGCAGCAGGUUAAAACCCCGCUGUUCUGACGGUACCCAAAGAAUAAGCACCGGCUAACUUCGUG
rnacentral:rRNA from 1 species